AAGGCUUGACAUAUACUGGACCGCAUCAGAGAUGGUGUUUCCCUUCGGGGCUGGUAUACAGGUGGUGCAUGGUUGUCGUCAGCUCGUGUCGUGAGAUGUUGGGUUAAGUCCCGCAACGAGCGCAACCCUCGUUCUAUGUUGCCAGCACGUUAUGGUGGGGACUCAUAGGAGACUGCCGGGGUCAACUCGGAGGAAGGUGGGGAUGACGUCAAAUCAUCAUGCCCCUUAUGUCUUGGGCUUCACGCAUGCUACAAUGGCCGGUACAGAGGGUUGCGAUACUGUGAGGUGGAGCUAAUCCCUAAAAGCCGGUCUCAGUUCGGAUUGGGGUCUGCAACUCGACCCCAUGAAGUCGGAGUCGCUAGUAAUCGCAGAUCAGCAACGCUGCGGUGAAUACGUUCCCGGGCC
rnacentral:rRNA from 1 species